GACGAACGCUGGCGGCGUGCUUAACACAUGCAAGUCGAACGGAAAGGCCCUGCUUUUGUUGGGUUCUCGAGUGGCGAACGGGUGAGUAACACGUGAGUAACCUGCCCUUGACUUUGGGAUAACUUCAGGAAACUGGGUCUAAUACCUGAUAGGAGCUCCUGCUUCAUGGUGGUGGUUGGAAAGUUUCGGCGGUUGGGGAUGGACUCGCGGCUUAUCAGCUUGUUGGUGGGGUAGUGGCUUACCAAGGCUUUGACGGGUAGCAGGCCUGAGAGGGUGACCGGCAAAAUUGGGACUGAGAUACGGCACAGAAUACUACGGGAGGCAGCAGUGGGGAAUAUUGCACAAUGGGCGGAAGCGUGAUGAAGAAAAGCAGCGUGCGGGAUGACGGCCUUCGGGUUGUAAACCGAUUUAGAAUGUGAAGAAGAGUGAGUGACGGUAAUGGGUAAAGAAGCACCGGCUAACUACGUG
rnacentral:rRNA from 1 species